rnacentral:misc_RNA from 1 species
GCUGCUCCAAUCUCAUCCACAACCGUUUUCAUUGUUGGUGAUCAUGGGACCUGAACGCGGAGCUGUAAUGGCUACUAUUUUCCUUGCUCUUCUCUUUAGUCCUCUGGUGCUUCCAGUGUCGGCUGAUGGUUUGGUCAGAAUUGGGCUCAAGAAGCAGCCGAUCGACCAAAACAGCCAGGUAGCUUUCCGUCUUGCUUCCGAGGAGGCAAGGCGGUCGACUGCCAGGAAGUUUGGGCUCCAUAGUGGGCUCGAGGAUGGUGCUGAGGAGACAGAUAUUGUAUCGCUGAAGAACUAUUUGAAUGCUCAGUACUUCGGCGAGAUUGCCAUUGGCUCGCCUCCUCAGAAGUUCACGGUCAUCUUUGAUACCGGGAGCUCCAACUUGUGGAUUCCCUCCGCCAAGUGCUAUUUCUCGAUUGCUUGCUUUUUCCAUUCCAAGUAUAGGUCAAGCAGAUCCAGCACCUAUCAGAAGAAUGGAAAAUCUGCUGCUAUUCAUUAUGGAACUGGAUCAGUAUCUGGUUUCUUCAGCCAAGAUCAUGUUAAGAUUGGUGGCCUUGUUGUCAAAGAUCAGAUUUUCAUUGAAGCUACUCGGGAGCCAAGUCUCACUUUUGUUGUAGCAAAGUUUGAUGGCCUACUUGGGCUGGGAUUCAAAGAAAUAUCAGUUGGGGAUGUUGUGCCUGUGUGGUACAACAUGAUCGACCAGGGUCUUAUGAAGGAACCAGUUUUCUCUUUCUGGUUCAACCGGAAAGCUGGGGAAGGUGAGGGGGGUGAACUUGUAUUUGGAGGAGUCGACCCAAAUCACUAUAAAGGUGAACACACCUAUGUUCCUGUGACACGAAAAGGUUACUGGCAGUUUGACAUGGGGGAUGUUUAUGUUGGUGGCCAAUCAACUGGAUUUUGUGCUGGUGGUUGUGCUGCCAUUGCAGAUUCUGGAACUUCUUUGAUAGCUGGUCCAACGACCAUCGUUACUGAAAUUAAUCAAAAAAUUGGAGCUGCUGGUAUUGUUAGCCAGGAAUGCAAAGCAGUUGUGGUAGAAUAUGGGGAACAAAUACUGGCUUUGUUGUUGGCAGAGACACAACCAUCCAAAAUUUGCUCCCAGAUUGGUCUAUGUACCUUCGAUGGGACCCAUGGGGUUAGUACUGGCAUUGAGAGUGUGGUCAAUGACAAGGGUGAAGGUGUUGGUGCACAUGAUGCCAUGUGCACAGCCUGUGAGAUGGCAGUUGUCUGGAUGCAAAAUCAGCUUCGUCGGAAUGAGACACAGGACCAAAUACUUAACUAUAUCAAUCAGCUUUGUGAGCGCUUACCUAGUCCUAUGGGAGAAUCAGCUGUUGACUGUGCUAGUCUUGACACGAUGCCUAAUGUCUCAUUUUCAAUUGGUGGCAAAACUUUUGAGCUGACACCAGAACAGUACAUAAUGAAGGUUGGUGAGGGACCUGCAGCUCAAUGCAUUAGUGGAUUCACAGCUAUGGAUGUACCGCCUCCUCGUGGUCCCCUUUGGAUUUUGGGAGAUGUCUUCAUGGGUGUCUACCACACCGUCUUUGACUAUGGUAAAAUGAGGGUUGGGUUUGCUGAGGCUGCUUGAAAUGAUUCAGGUUGUAUGUUAUUUCUCUGACUAGAACUGCAAGUCUUGGGUUUAUGCACCUUACGUAAGUUUAUGGAAUGCUUGUAAAUAUUCUGGGUAUGUAUGCCCAAUGGUUUAUGUUUUUGUUAUUACUAUUAUCAUCCCUUCUCUGUAAUAGUUAUUUGUUUACUGAAUUGGGAUGUGAAGAAGCUAAAGUUACUUGCCUUUUG